AAUUUGGAAUCUCGGCACGAAAUCGUCUGAUGAAAAUCCGAGGUGCCCGACGCAUAACAUUUUGAACGUGCCACGGAGGAUCAAGGCAAAAAACGAGAGCAAAAAAUGGUGCACGCUGAAGGCGGAAAUGAAGCAUGAUCUGGCUUGCAUCUGGUCAUGAAGAAAUUGCUGACACGUUAGUUGCAGUCCACCUCCACCAACAGACAUUUUGACACCACUUUUAAAUCUGCCCUCAAAGUUACAACCUGUGCUUCGAGGGUGGAAAACAAAGAUCGCCAUUCCGAUUAGCUGCUAUCUCCCAGUUCAAGCACUUUUGUGUCUGGACACUGGUUCCUGUGGAUGGGGUGUUACAAGCUUUACUGUCUGAUAUAGAAGUGAUGAGCAUCCAUAAGGACACAUGCCAGAAAGGGAGUCUCUUUGGGAUGACAAACCCUCAUUACCUCAUGAGGAUACAA